GUGAACAUGACUGUGAUGAAAAUUCUACUUUCUGGUUUCCUGGGUUAGACAUUCACCAACCUGUGGAAGAAAGACAUGAAAAUUAUAGCAACAACCAAGGAGUCAGCCAGGGCGGAAGCCGAGCUGCUCCACAGUGAACAGGCCUUCAGUCUCCACCCUGCACUUCCUGUCCAUGCGGAGGCUGUGAAAUAUCCUGCUCUGAGCCUCAGUUACAGACUCUCCGAACAAUACAAAUCUGGACAGAUCACUUUGUAAUCCUUAGAGAUCAUCUUAUGUACACCUGUGUUUGAUAUAUGAGGAGUGGAGGCCAGAGACACUAACACCUGGAUCCUUGGUGACAGAACAUGUGGGAAGCAGGGCUGGACCAGAUUCUGAGGUACACCCUUUCUGGCCCUUUGCUUUUUCUCUGCCUGUGCUCACAUAAUAUUUUACUAAACUAGGUUCUUUUACUACCAUUUCAAAGUAACAAA
rnacentral:lncRNA from 1 species